UUAAGUUCAGCGGGUAUCCCUACCUGAUCCGAGGUCAAAAUUGUGAAGAUAGCUUCUGGGAGCCAAUACGACGGGCCCGAGUUCGCGUUUCUGCUGCGCUCGAAGCCAAUGUACCGGCCGCCGAUAGAUUUGAGGCGAGUCCGCGCCGUGAGGCAGGACAGACGCCCAACACCAAGCAGGGCUUGAUGGUUGAAAUGACG
rnacentral:misc_RNA from 1 species